rnacentral:lncRNA from 1 species
UUGGGGUCUCCGGAUCGGAGGAAAUCCUUGGCAUAGUCAAACAUGCGUAAAUCAGAGUACAUGUCCAGAGCUAGGCUUUCACGCCCGCUCUUCUUGUACAGCUUUGCUGCCUCGUGGAACUUUCCCUGGUAGGCAUAAACAUCUGCUAGGAACAACUCAUUGAGGUUCUCUCCGUGCUUCUUCCGCUCCUCAAUGCUGCUG